GAUGAACGCUGGCGGCGUGCCUAAUACAUGCAAGUCGAGCGAACAGACGAGGAGCUUGCUCCUCUGACGUUAGCGGCGGACGGGUGAGUAACACGUGGAUAACCUACCUAUAAGACUGGGAUAACUUCGGGAAACCGGAGCUAAUACCGGAUAAUAUAUUGAACCGCAUGGUUCAAUAGUGAAAGACGGUUUUGCUGUCACUUAUAGAUGGAUCCGCGCCGCAUUAGCUAGUUGGUAAGGUAACGGCUUACCAAGGCAACGAUGCGUAGCCGACCUGAGAGGGGGAUCGGCCACACUGGAACUUAGACACGGUCCAGACUCCUACGGGAGGCAGCAGUAGGGAAUCUUCCGCAAUGGGCGAAAGCCUGACGGAGCAACGCCGCGUGAGUGAUGAAGGUCUUCGGAUCGUAAAACUCUGUUAUUAGGGAAGAACAAAUGUGUAAGUAACUAUGCACGUCUUGACGGUACCUAAUCAGAAAGCCACGGCUAACUACGUG
rnacentral:rRNA from 1 species